rnacentral:rRNA from 1 species
CCUACGGGGGGCAGCAGUGAGGAAUAUUGGUCAAUGGACGCAAGUCUGAACCAGCCAUGCCGCGUGAAGGAAGACGGCUCUAUGAGUUGUAAACUGCUUUUGUACGGGGGUAAACGGAGAUACGCGUAUCUGUCUGAAAGUAUCGUACGAAUAAGGAUCGGCUAACUCCGUGCCAGCAGCCGCGGUAAUACGGAGGAUUCAAGCGUUAUCCGGAUUUAUUGGGUUUAAAGGGAGCGUAGGCGGUCGGAUAAGUUAGAGGUGAAAUCCCGAGGCUCAACCUCUGAAUUGCCUUUGAUACUGUUCGUCUAGAGAGUAGGAGCGGUAGGCGGAAUGUAUGGUGUAGCGGUGAAAUGCUUAGAGAUCAUACAGAACACCGAUUGCGAAGGCAGCUCACCGAGCUACUUCUGACGUUGAGGCACGAAAGCGUGGGGAGCAAACAGGAUUAGAUACCCCAGUAGUC